AUUGAACGCUGGCGGCAUGCUUUACACAUGCAAGUCGAACGGCAGCACGGGGGCAACCCUGGUGGCGAGUGGCGAACGGGUGAGUAACACAUCGGAACGUGCCCAGUUGUGGGGGAUAACCCAUCGAAGGGUGGGCUAAUACCGCAUGAGCUGGCAACAGGAAAGCGGGGGACCCGCAAGGGCCUUGUGCGAUUGGAGCGGCCGAUGUCCGAUUAGCUAGUUGGUGGGGUAAAGGCCUACCAAGGCUUCGAUCGGUAGCUGGUCUGAGAGGAUGAUCAGCCACACUGGGACUGAGACACGGCCAGACUCCUACGGGAGGCAGCAGUGGGGAAUUUUGGACAAUGGGGGCAACCCUGAUCCAGCCAUGCCGCGUGAGUGAAGAAGGCCUGG
rnacentral:rRNA from 1 species